ACUAGGAAUUUUGCGCAAUGGGGGCAACCCUGACGCAGCGACACAGCGUGGAGGAGGAAGGUCUUCGGAUUGUAAACUCCUUUUAUAUGGGAAGAAUAGAUGACUGUACCAUAUGAAUAAGCACCUGCUAACUACGUGCCAGACGCAUCGGUGAUGCGUAGGGUGCGAACGUUAUCCGGAUUUAUUGGGCGUAAAGAGAUGCGUAGGCGUUUCAGUUAGUCUUUCGUUAAAAGUCACGGCUUAACCGUGAAGAUGCGUUGGAUACUGCUGAAAUGGAGACAGUAAUGGGUGAACGGAACUCCAAGUGGAGCGGUGAAAUGCGUUGAUAUUUGGAAGAACAUCAGAGGCGAAGGCGGUUCACUGGUCAUUGUCUGACGCUAAGGCUCGAAAGCGUGGGUAGCAAAACGGAUUAGAAACCCUAGUAGUCC
rnacentral:rRNA from 1 species